GUUCACAUGUCUGAGCACACAUAAGGGACUCUGUGAAUACGUGUGUAUUUGUUGUGUGCAUGCCUGCAGAAUGGGACACAGACUCACUCUAUUCAUCAGGGAUUUGCUUUAAUCAGGAAUUGGCAAGCAUGGGAAGAGCAUGCUGUCCAGGGUCGGCAAGGCCUGGAAAUGUCAGAGCAUCAGAAUACUGAAAAUAAAAGACACGAUUCCUGCUUUUGAGUAAUGAAGGCGACCAAACCACAUGACCCUGCCUGCAAAGAUCCCACCUGGACUCCCAGUUCCUCCAAGGAACCGUCAUGUGGUUCAAAUUCAUUAGAAAUUCUCCAAAUCUCCACCCUCCUCAGGGUGCAGAGUUGGCUGCUUUUCUGUGUCCCCUGCUGAUCACCGCAACUCCUGGGUGCCUCGCCCUGAGAAGCCCCCGCUGUCCUCCAUCUGCAGACAAGCCGAGGUAUGAAAGCCUCCUCGCUGGCCCAGGAGCCUGUCAUUGUCCUCCAGCAGCUCUAGCCUGGAUGCGGUCCCAGAGAUAAAUCAUAUCUCUUUAAAAA